rnacentral:lncRNA from 1 species
UUCAAAAUUUAUUCAGAACGGAAAAUAGGGGUAUUGAACCCAAACAAGUUAAGAAAUGUUGCAGAUUAUAGUGCAUGAGAUGUAAAUGUGGCUGAGGUUCAUGAAUUUGAGGAGCACAUUCUAUGUGGUUUUAAGCCACGAAAUUUCAGUCAUCAUUCACUGGAUAUGUUAAGUUUCUAAAUUAUUUUUCCCCAGAUUUAUGGUUGGGUUUAAGGCCACUGAUCACGCAAGGCAAAAAUGGUGAUCACAGAAAAAGAGCUGUUCGCGCAACCAUUUUGUAAAAAUUGCCAAAAAUCCGAUAUUUAAUAUUUUACAGUGAGACCAGUUGGGUUUGAAAGCUAACUCGUGGAACUAUCCAAUACAAAAAUAAUAUCAGGAUUUGGUUAAGUAAUGACCGAGUUAUGGCCGCUCAAAGCUGAACAAUGUAGUCUGGCAGAUUGCAUGUCUUCCCUGUUUGCUUUGAGUGCAUUCUUAGGGCAUUUUGACAAGAACAACAUGCAUGCUUCUGUUAAGGUCCGAUUUCUAGCACAUGCAUGGAGUGAAUGAGCAUCCAAGAUGUACUAGAAAUGGUUUAAAUGCUUUUGGUCAUGCAAGAACACAAAAGAAAUGGAGAAGAAGAUGUAAUACUCGGUUUUGAAGUCACAUGAACACAUGUGCAUCUUUUUCACUCCUUGCAUGGGUUUGAUCCCGGAUUUUCACCAUCUCAAACACAUGCAUUGUGUUAUGGUGAGAAUCUACAAACCACAAGGGAAAAAGUAAGGAUUUCUAGCCAUGGAAGGGCAUAGAAUCCGAAGAGUAGAGAAGAACCAUGAAGAAGAGGAAGUAAAAUCAUGAAACUAUGAGGGAGGAUUGUGUUGUUUACCUUGGUUUUGAUCUUGAGAGAAGCAAGAACACUUCAAGGCCUUCUCAAUUUCGAAAUUAUGGCAGAGAAUGGAGGAUUUUAUUGAGUUAGAGAGAGAGAGAGGAAGAGAGCUUGAGUGUUAGAUGGGUGGAGUGUGAGAGAAAGUGAAGAGAGAAGUGGAAGAGUGAGGGUUUGAGUUUAAUGAUUGAAUUUUUGGGAAGAUGAAAGCAUGGGGGAGAGAGGGUGCCAGAUUUUUGAGGGUAUUAAAGUGCAUAUGAGUCAAAGUUUAUCUGUUCCUUCUAGCAAUAAAAGCGAUAUCUGGGUGUCACACCCCACUAAAGCGGAAACGCAAGAUAUGACAGCGAUAACGGUUUCAUUGCAAAAGAUAAAGAUACAUCACCAUAGCAAUAUUUAAAAGUUUACAACCCAUAGCUUAAACAAAACAAAGUACAAGUUUUUCCAAAAUAACAUUGUUCAAAAUAUAACUUCAAAAAUAACUUCAACACGAUGCAGCAUGCUCUAUGACGAUGAAUCUUUAUAUCGACUUACUAAUUAUUUCCUGAAAAAGCAUGUAAAACGAGCGUCAGCUAUGUAAAUAGUUGGUGAGUUCACAAGUUUAUAAAAUCAAGAUUUGGAAUAAGGCUUUUCAUAAAUACAAGUACAUUGCUUUAAUGAGAAACAAGUUUAUUGCUAUUAUUGAUAACAAGUUUAUUGCUAUAACGCGAAACGAGUUUGUAUGUGUAUGAGCAAACAAUGAGUCUUAACCAAACCUAUGACUGAACCCUAUCAAGAUCUAUGCUUAUCGUUCCAUAGAUGAAUAUGGUAUCAUGCACUCCAACAAUAGGGUGAGUGAGGAGUUGUCAAUUCCAAAUAGCGCUAUCCAUAAUGACCAUUGGCUCAAAGAGUUAAUGGUUAGAGAUAAGGGAAGGGCCUUAGUAGUAUAAGUUCUCAUGUUCCGUGUUGCAUAGACAUACAUANCUUCUGUCACACCCCGCUAAAGCGGAAACGCAAGGUAUGACAGCGAUAACGGUUUCAUUGCAAAAGAUAAAGAUACAUCACCAUAGCAGUAUUUAAAAGUUUACAACCCAUAGCUUCAAAAGAAACAAAAUACAAGUUUUUGCAAAAUAACACUAUUCAAAGAUAACUUCAUAAAUAACUUCAACACGAUGCAGCAUGCUCUAUGAUGAUGAAUCUUUAUAUCCACUUACUAAUUAUUUCCUGAAAAAGCAUGUAAAACGAGCGUCAACUAUGAAAAUAGUUGGCGAGUUCACAAGUUUAUAAAUCGAGCUUGAAAUAAGGCUUUUCGUAAAUACAAGUACAUUUCUUUAAUGAUAAACAAAGUUGAUUGCUAUUAAUGAAUACAAGUUUAUUGUUGUAACGAGAAACGAUUUUGUAUGUAUAUGAGCAAACAAUGAGUCUCAACCAAACCUAUGACUGAAUCCCUAUCGAGAUCUAUGCUUAUCGUUCCAUAGAUGAAUAUGGUAUCAUGCACUCCAGCAAUAGGGCGAGUGAGGAGUUGUCAAUUCCUAAUAGCGCUAUCCAUAAUGACCAUUGGCUCAAAGAGUUAAUGGUUAGAGAUAAGGGAAGGGCCUUAGUACGAUAAGUUCUCAUGUUCCAUGUUGCAUAGACAUACAUAGAGAGACAUAGCAAUACAAUAGCAAGCAUGUUUGAUACAAAUCAAUUUAAAUACAACAUGCAAAUAAUAGAUUUUCUGGACAUGCUUUUCGACGCCAAAACAUAAAAACUAAAAAUAGGGGAGUGCGUGAAUACACACAAUGUUUCGUGUAGGUACAAGUAGUGCCUCGGGAUGCACCAACGUCUUACUACCGGGAUUCUACGACGUCAAACACACACUAGUGAGUUUUCAUAUCGAAAUCUAAUGCUAAUAUACUAAACUCUACAUAUAGUGAAAUGCCAAUUUAUGUUUUAGUAUUGAAUUUUAUAUUAAUUGGUUACACUUUUUCAAAUUUUUAAGUCUUUAUAACAACAUAAAUUCACGAAAAAUGGCAUUCAAAGGAUAAAAAUUAUCAAACUUUUUAUUUAACUGUUAUUACACAAUAAUAAGCUGGAAAAGAUAUAAAAAUGGAUUUCCAAGCUGUUUAAUUAUAUUUUAUGAUUUUUGAGCAUUUAUUCCAAUAAAAAUUGAUAUAAAUAGAAACCAGUUUCCAAAAUUACCCAAACUGUUUAUUUAACUGUUAUUAUACAUAACUAGGCUAGGAAAAUAUAAAAGAUAUUUUUCAGUGGGUAUUUCUAUUUUUCCUUGUUUUCUUCCUUUAAAUAAUCAUUAAUUGAAAAAUAAAUAUUAAACAGUUAAAAUAAAUUACCAAAAAUUUUUGUAACAUCAUUUACAGUGUAAUUAAUCUGGGAAAAAUACGAAAAGUGGUUUUCAUAUUGUAUAAUCCGGUUUUGGGUAUUUAUGUGUAUUUAGGUGUAUUUAAGUGUAUUUAACUUUAGAAAAUAGGAGAAAAAUAGUUUGUAGUAGAGAAAAAUCAUCAAAAUUUUUAUGUAACCUCCUACUGUACAACAUGAUUUUCUGGUAAAUUGUCAUGAAUUUUGGAUAAUCAGAACUGUUUUUCCUAUUUUUAGGCCAUUAUAAUUACCAAAAAUUGGUAUAAAUAGUAAGGCAUGAUGAAAAAUUUGGAAAUUAUUUUUCUGAGUCACCCACUACAGGUAAGGGCUGCGAAAAUUGUUAGAUACAAUUUUCACACUCUCUAAUGUGGUUUUGUGAUUUAUUAUACCCAAACAAAAAGAAAAACGGAAAUUAUACCAAACAGAAACAAAAAUCUAAGAAAUUUAAUGAGGGGUCAUUACUCACCAUAGGGGUCAUACAUGAAUUUAUUCCGGAUUUAUAGACCUCUGGAAGUAUUUUAUGUGAUUUAUGCACUUGUUUUCUUGCAAUAAUUUUAAUAAAUCAAAGAAAUGAUAAAAGCUCUUGGUAUUUUACAGAUUAUCACAUGCAUGUGAGGGCUUUCAAAAGGAAAAAUGUUCAAAAUUUAUUCAGAAGGGAAAAUAGGGGUAUUGAACGCAAACAAGUUAAGAAAUGUUGCAGAUUAUAGUUCAUGAGAUGUAAAUGUGGCUGAGGUUCAUGAAUUUGAGUAGCACAUUCUGUGGGGUUUUAAGCCACGAAAUUUCAGCCAUAAUUCACUGGAUAUGUUAAGUUUCUAAAUUAUUUUUCCCCAGAUUUAUGGUUGGGUUAAAGGCCACUGAUCACACAAGGCAAAAAUGGUGAUCACAGAAAAAGAGCUGUUCGCGCAACCAUUUUGUAAAAAUUGCCAAAAAUACGAUAUUUAAUAUUUUACAGUGAGUCAAGUUGGGUUUGAAAGUUAACUCGUGGAACUAUCCAAUACAAAUAUAAUAUCAGGAUUUGGUUAAGUAAUAACCGAGUUAUGGCCGUUCAAAGCUGAACAAAGUAGUCUGGCAGAUUGCAUGUCUUCCCUGUUUGCUUUGAGUGCAUUCUUAGGGCAUUUUGACAAGAACAACAUGCAUGCUUCUGUUAAGGUCCGAUUUCUAGAACAUGCAUGGAGUAAAUGAGCAUCCAAGAUGUACUAGAAAUGGUUUAAAUGCUUUUGGUCAUGCAAGAACACAAAAGAAAUGGAGAAGAAGGUGUAAUACUCGGUUUUGAAGUCACAUGAAAACAUGUGCAUCUUUUUCACUCCUUGCAUGGGUUUGAUCCCCGAUUUUCACCAUCUCAAACACAUGCAUUGUGUUAUGGUGAGAAUCUACAACCACAAGGGAAAAAGUAAGGAUUUCUAGCCAUAGAAGGGCAUAGAAUCCGAAGAGUAGAGAAGAACCAUGAAGAAGAGGAAGUAAAAUCAUGAAACUAUGAGGGAGGAUUGUGUUGUUUACCUUGGUUUUGAUCUUGAGAGAAGCAAGAACACUUCAAGGCCUUCUCAAUUUCGAAAUUAUGGCAGAGAAUGGAGGAUUUUAUUGAGUUAGAGAGAGAGAGAGAGGAA